UCCUCUCCAAGAGACCAAAGAGCCCCACGUACCUCCUCAGAAGAUAUCGAGCUAGUCAGAGUAUCAUUCUCCUGUACAGAGAUACAAGCCACCAGUUGGGCACCCGAGAUGGGGUAGUCCUCUCCCAGCUAUGCCAUCCACUGAUCCCUGAAGAACUGGAGAAUCUCUGCUCGGAUCCCUCUACUGUCAUCCACAACACUGCCAUUGCUCCUCCACAAUUACCUGAUACGGUUGGUGGACCUCUAGAUCAUGGUGGAUUGAUGGAAGAAUUUGGUAUUUUGGUCUCCCUCUCGAAUCUACUGAACUCUGGAUUUCUGCCUCCAUAAAGUCUCAUGCUGCCUCAAUAGGAAGUGAUGCUCGAAGAGCUUACCACGCAGCUCCCCCAUUUUUGGCUCAUGUAGGCCUCCCUCUUAGUCUUCCCUCAACUGUAGCUUUGUGAUAUCCACCUCGACCUGCUCGAUCUGGUAGAAGAUGUCACCCACUUCCAAGCGAUUUCAUCUGAGGAGUCUGCGUCUGGUCAGCUCCAGCCUAUAAGUCACCCUAUACCUUGCAUCUCCGC
rnacentral:lncRNA from 1 species